AGGACGAACGCUGGCGGCGUGCCUAAUACAUGCAAGUAGAACGCUGAAGGAAGGAGCUUGCUCUUACCGGAUGAGUUGCGAACGGGUGAGUAACGCGUAGGUAACCUGCCUGGUAGCGGGGGAUAACUAUUGGAAACGAUAGCUAAUACCGCAUAAGAGUAGAUAUCGCAUGAUAGCUGCUUGAAAGGUGCAAUUGCACCACUACCAGAUGGACCUGCGUUGUAUUAGCUAGUUGGUGAGGUAACGGCUCACCAAGGCAACGAUACAUAGCCGACCUGAGAGGGUGAUCGGCCACACUGGGACUGAGACACGGCCCAGACUCCUACGGGAGGCAGCAGUAGGGAAUCUUCGGCAAUGGACGGAAGUCUGACCGAGCAACGCCGCGUGAGUGAAGAAGGUUUUUCGGAUCGUAAAGCUCUGUUGUAAGAGAAGAACGAGUGUGAGAGUGGAAAGUUCACACUGUGACGGUAUCUUACCAGAAAGG
rnacentral:rRNA from 1 species